rnacentral:rRNA from 1 species
CCCUUAGAUGUUCUGGGCUGCACGCGCGCUACACUGAUGCGCUCAACGAGUUUACGACCUUGCCCGGAAGGGUUGGGUAAUCUUUUUAAAACGCAUCGUGAUGGGGAUAGAUUAUUGCAAUUAUUAAUCUUUAACGAGGAAUUCCUAGUAAGCGCGAGUCAUCAGCUCGUGCUGAUUACGUCCCUGCCCUUUGUACACACCGCCCGUCGCACCUACCGAUUGAAUGUUUCGGUGAAGAUUCCGGACCGUGGCGAGCGCGCUUCACGGCGCUCUUGCCGUGGGAAGUUAUCUAAACCUCAACAUUUAGAGGAAGGUGAAGUCGUAACA